AUCCGGCUGAAGAGUACCGGAUAGGACGAAACGCGUGUCCUAGAU
rnacentral:hammerhead_ribozyme from 1 species